UCUUUGACAAACUGCCGUUAUUAAGGGCAAAAAAGAGCAAACUAUCCCACUGCCUAAGAAAGAUAUGAAGUAUGGCGACAGACCACCUGGCUUAAUCAGGAGACCUUCAAUGAUCUGAAACUCAAAAAAGAAUCCUACAAAAAGUGGAAACUAAGUGAAAUUACAAAGGAUGAAUAUAAACAAACACCACAAGUAUGUAAGGACAAAAUUAGAAAGGCCAAGGCACAAAA